GCGGGGGUGUCCGAGCCAGGUCAAAGGGGUCGGGCUUAGGACCCGAUGGCGUAGGCCUGCGUGGGUUCAAAUCCACCCCCCGCACCA
rnacentral:tRNA from 1 species